UACGUAGGGGGCUAGCGUUGUCCGGAAUCAUUGGGCGUAAAGCGCGUGUAGGCGGUCCGGUAAGUCCGCUGUGAAAGUCGAGGGCUCAACCCUCGAAUGCCGGUGGAUACUGUCGGGGCUUGAGUACGGGGAGAGGCGAGUGGAAUUCCUGGUGUAGCGGUGAAAAUGCGCAGAUAUCAGGAGGAACACCGAUUGCGAAAGGCAGCUCGCUGGAAACGUUUACUGACGCUGAGACGCGAAAACGUGGGGGAGCAAAACAGG
rnacentral:rRNA from 1 species